GUUCCUUCGAUAUCAAAGCAAUCUGGUAAAAAAAUGAUUACCAGAUUGCAUUGAUAUCGAAGGAACU